CCAGACUCCUACGGGAGGCAGCAGUGAGGAAUAUUGGUCAAUGGACGAGAGUCUGAACCAGCCAAGUAGCGUGAAGGAUGACUGCCCUAUGGGUUGUAAACUUCUUUUAUAAAGGAAUAAAACGAGGCACGUGUGCCUUUUUGCAUGUACUUUAUGAAUAAGGAUCGGCUAACUCCGUGCCAGCAGCCGCGGUAAUACGGAGGAUCCGAGCGUUAUCCGGAUUUAUUGGGUUUAAAGGGAGCGUAGAUGGGUUGUCAAGUCUGUUGUGAAAGUUUGGGGCUCAACCGUAGAAUUGCAAUUGAUACUGGCAGUCUUGAGUACAGUUGAGGUAGGCGGAAUUCGUGGUGUAGCGGUGAAAUGCGUAGAUAUCACGAAGAACUCCGGUUGCGAAGGCGGCUUACUGGACUGCCACUGACGUUGAUGCUCGAAAGUGUGGGGAGCAAACAGGAUUAGAUACCCGAGUA
rnacentral:rRNA from 1 species